GGUAGAGGUGGAGCCAGACUGCGUCUUCUUUGCUCUGUCUACAAAACAUUUCCAGCUGGUACCAUAAAUACUGAACUAAACUUGAACAAACUGACAGAAAGGAUCAGCUGCUACCGUACUCACCUCAAAAACCUGACCUGGGUCACCUGUUGUCGUGUUUCCUUUACUACAUUCAAAGGUGUGUCAGCCGUGCUGUAUUUAUUUGCCUAAAUCCAUGUAGGGGGAGAAAACUGACAUCAAAAUUACCCAUAUUUUUGUUAUUUGGAAUCUAUUUUUUUUGUGAGGAUGCCAAAUAUUUCAGAGAACAUGUACUAUAAUCAGAACUUUCUUUGUUCAAGAGACACUUUCUUUUUUUUUUAACUUCAGUUCAUUGUUUUUGUGAAGAAAGAAUAUUCUUAUCAGCAACAGAUUUAAAUACACAGUGUUUGUUAUCAUUACUCACUGUAGGAAAAUGGGGGAGCAAUGCACUACUGGGAGCUAGCUGGGCACAUUGGUAAACCAAUGGCAAGAGGCAUAUAUGCGAAAGAGAUUAAACUUCUUGCGCUAUAAAUCCAACAGCAAGGACUAUAUUGGAAAAGAGAUUAAACUUCUUGCGCUAUAAAUCCAACAGCAAGGUACUAUAUUGGAAAAGAGAUUAAACUUCUUGCACUAUAAAUCCAACAGCAAGGCUCUGCUAAGAGCUGAAACGUUGCCGGAACUACUUUCUUCACACUAUUGUGACUCACUAAGGACACCGUACUCCAGGAAACACUGAAGCAACAAAUGGACAUCACACAGCUGAGGGUGGAAUUCCAGAGGGUGCAGGGGAGAGGAGCUCGGCGGCUUUCUUCCCAUCACACACAGAGGGUUCCCAGAGCUGUUUUAUGCUGGCGGUAUAACCGCUACACUGGAUUACAAAAACACUUGGAGCUUCUGAACAAAUUAAGGUACUGUUUCUCCACGGCUAUAACCUGCGCAGGAUUGCCGUUUUACACCAAUCCUAAAACUUUGAAAUUGAAUUGAGAAUCAUUGUUGCAGCUCAUUGUUAUUUUGCUUAAAUAACCAGGAUUCGUUUUCUCUCAUUAGUACUGCUUUUUUGAUUCCUUAACCCUGUCUGCAGCAGAGGCUAAGUAUUUUGAAGUGUCUUUAGAGGUCUUCUCUCUACAUUGAUAGGUCACUUAUAGAGAAUUACUCAUUUUAUAUAAACAAGUUUUUAUACAUUUAUUUAUGUACAUUUAGUAUUGCCUUUUUAUAUUUAUCUCAUUGUAUGAAUUAUUUCGCUUACAACUCUUUUAAUACAUUUAGUAAAGUCUAAUUAAAUUAUAUUUUAACAUUCA